rnacentral:SRP_RNA from 1 species
CGUGCUAGACGGGGAGGUAGCGGUGCCCUGUACCUGCAACCCGCUAGAGCAGGGUUGAAUUCCUGCCAGAGGCUUGGUCUUGUGGGGUCCGGCCGCGGUAAGUGGUGAAGAGAGCUGGGUCCUGCGCAACGUGAAUUCAUGAACCCCGUCAGGCCCGGGAGGGAGCAGCGGUAAGUGAACCCUUGCGUGUGCCGCAGGUGAGCCUGGCUGGAGCUGGCUGCCGUGGUAGCGCCCGGAAGGCCCUGUCGAAGGCAGGUGCACGA